ACUUUGUCAUCAACUCACUUUAAUGUUCUUUGAGAACUGCUCAUAGCACUUCUUGUAGUUGUCUUUAUCUUCAGCGAGCUCUGUGAAGAGUUCCAGGCACUUCUUGACCAGGUUCUUGCGGAUGACCUUGAGGAUCUUGCUCUGCUGCAGCAUCUCUCUGGAGAUGUUCAA